GGGGAAUCUUCCGCAAUGGACGAAAGUCUGACGGAGCAACGCCGCGUGAGUGAUGACGGCCUUCGGGUUGUAAAGCUCUGUUAAUCGGGACGAAAGGCCUUCUUGCGAAUAGUUAGAAGGAUUGACGGUACCGGAAUAGAAAGCCACGGCUAACUACGUGCCAGCAGCCGCGGUAAUACGUAGGUGGCAAGCGUUGUCCGGAAUUAUUGGGCGUAAAGCGCGCGCAGGCGGACUGGUCAGUCUGUCUUAAAAGUUCGGGGCUUAACCCCGUGAUGGGAUGGAAACUGCCAAUCUAGAGUAUCGGAGAGGAAAGUGGAAUUCCUAGUGUAGCGGUGAAAUGCGUAGAUAUUAGGAAGAACACCAGUGGCGAAGGCGACUUUCUGGACGAAAACUGACGCUGAGGCGCGAAAGCCAGGGGAGCGAACGGGAUUAGAUACCCCGGUAGUCCUGGCCGUAAACGAUGGGUACUAGGUGUAGGAGGUAUCGACCCCUUCUGUGCCGGAGUUAACGCAAUAAGUACCCCGCCUGGGGAGUACGACCGCAAGGUUG
rnacentral:rRNA from 1 species